rnacentral:lncRNA from 1 species
AUACUUUGAAGAAUCAAAAGCCUGCAUGAAGGGGAAGCAUUAAGUAGGAGCCCAACACGAUGUAUCUUCACAUUAUUCUUUCAAAAUGUGAAUCAAGGUAUGAAAUUUUAAACCCUAUAAUUUUUGCAUUUUGCGGAUUUUUCAAUUCUCGAACUUAGGAGAAUUUUGGGAAGAAAAAUGUGGAGAAUAUAACUACAUUGAUUGAUGGGAGUUGGAAGAUGUCUUUUGUUUGCCAAAAAUUAUGAAAAAACAAAUAAUCCGUUCAUUUUUUCCUUCAAACCCGAAUUUGAAUUCACCUUUGGGAAUCUUUGAAAUUCAAAUUUUUGGUAUAUGUAAGUGAUUCUUUGAUGGAGUUUGGGACUAAGAAUAGAUGUUGAAGGAUAUGGGUUAUGGUUGUGUGCAAACAUUGGGAUCAAACACCUCCCAACUUCAACAAAUUCGAAGUGGACUUUUCAUGAACACAAAUUAUUCCAUGAAAAUCCACAUUGAACUUUACAUUCUUCUUUUUGCACCAAAUUCGAACAAUAAUGAGUCUAAAGAUUAAUGGUGGUGGUAAAAAUUUUGCAUUUGCAUUGGAAUCAAGGAAUUUUUUGCACAAACGCAUGCAACGGACUGCGUCCCCUACGUUUCCUGCCUUUGUCCCCCCUGCCCCCCAUUUCGUCUUCUUGUUUAGUCACCCUCCGUUCCCUAUUUUUGCAAGAAAUUUGAUGUGGUUGAAUAUUUUUCAUUCAUUAUGGGUUACAAUGUAUUCCAUGAUUUUCAUUGUAGGUAAAUAUAACAUUAAACUUCGAAGACACCUUCAAAAGAGUAGAAAAGGAAAAAGGGAAAAGGGAAGUCGAAUAGAGAUUCUUCAAAUUUCAGCUAUGCGCCCAUCAUCCUAUUUAUAUG